rnacentral:lncRNA from 1 species
ACGCAGCUGAACCUAUUUAUUUAUUUGUUUUGCUUUUCAGGGCCGCGCCUGCAGCACAUGGACGUUCCCAGGCCAGGGGUCUCCUAGGAGCUACAGCUGCCAGCCCACACCUGAGCUGAGUCUGCGACCUACACCACAGCUCACGGCAAUGCCAGAUCCUUAAUCCACUGAACGAAGCCAGCUGCUGUAGCUGAUUUCGACCCCUAGCCUGGGAAUCUCCAUAUGCCGUGGGUGCAGCCCUAAAAAGAACAACAACAACAAAAAAAUCCAAGUGCAGCAGCUCAGGUCACUGCCAAGGUGAGGGGUGGAUGGAUUCCCAGCCCUGCUCAGUAGGUUAAAGGAUCUGGCGUUGCCAUGGUCGCGGUGUAGGUCACAGGCAGCUGUGGCUGGGAUUCAAUCCCUGGCCCCGAAACCUCCACAUGCCCUGAGUGCAGCCACAACAUUAAAAGAACAUCUACUAAUUUCCAAAUGGCUGCUCUGUCAAAUCAUUCCGAAAUCAGUUACUACAACACGAACGUAGCCCCUGGCCGUUCUGGAGGUCGAGGCUGACAGCAGCCUCCCUGCACUGCAGGGUCAGCAGAGCUGUUCCUUGGGGGGCUCUGGGGCCAAACUCUGUCCCCGGCCUUUCCCACUGCUGGAGGCUCCCCACCGCCCUCCCUUUGCAAAACUCAGCAACUAGGGGUCGCAGCCUCCCCUCCCUGCCUCAUGCUGCCCUCCCCCCUUCCACUUUUAGGGACCCCUGUAAUUACACGGAGACCCCCCGCAAAGUCCAGGUCACCCUCACCGUCUGGAGGUCGGCGGAGGAGCAGCCUCAUUCCCCUUUGCCCUGCACCCUGACACAGGCACCACCGCGGGGACAGGAGAGGGCCAUCUCUGGUCGGGAGCCUCCUCCUGCCUGCGACGGCAGCUGUGAAGACAAGCCCGCAUCCUCAGCGCUGGGGAAGGAGUGUAGGCUCCCUGCUCUUGGCCCUUGGCAGUGGCCCACGGGGUGUGCAGGGAAGCUCGUGCAGACGAAAGGCGUCUCCACAUGCACAGGGUCCCCGCUGGGUGGCAACGGGACUGAUGGCCUCUUGGGAGCACUGAGGUGCAGUGGGUAAGGCUCUGGUGGUGCUGCAGCUCUGGCUUAGGUCACAACUAGGGCUCCGAUCUGAUCCCUGUGCGGCGGGGCGGCCAAAAAAGGGAAAAACCACGUCCUUAUGCACAGACAGUGUGAUCCUGUGUGUGGCCUAAGGAGUCAGAUACACACACACCGGGAAUUAAGAAGCUGAGCCGGAGAAAUCUGUUGGGAUUACACAGGCUAAAGCCAACCUGAAAACAAAAUCACACCAGUUCCACUCACCACGACAUCAAGACAAAUAAAAUACUCAGAAAUCACUUUAUCAAACCUACUGUAAGAUUCAUACGCUAAAAACUACCCCGUC